rnacentral:rRNA from 1 species
CCUACGGGUGGCAGCAGUGGGGAAUUUUGGACAAUGGGCGCAAGCCUGAUCCAGCUAUUCCGCGUGUGGGAUGAAGGCCCUCGGGUUGUAAACCCCUUUUGUCGAGGACGAAAAGCCCCCUUCGUAUACAGGGUGUUGCUGACGGUACUCUAAGAAUAAGCACCGGCUAACUACGUGCCAGCAGCCGCGGUAAUACGUAGGGUGCGAGCGUUAAUCGGAUUUAUGGGGCGUAAGGGGUGCGCAGGCGGUUGAGUAAGACAGAGGGAAAUCCCCGGGCUUAACCCGGGAAUGGCAUAUGAGACUGCUAGACUAGAGUGUGUCAGAGGGAGGUGGAAUUCCACGUGUAGCAGUGAAAUGCGUAGAUAUGUGGAAGAACACCGAUGGCGAAGGCAGCCUCCUGGGACAUAACUGACGCUGAGGCACGAAAGCGUGGGGAGCAAACAGGAUUAGAUACCCCUGUAGUC